rnacentral:rRNA from 1 species
GGAGGCAAGCAGUAGGGAAUCUUCCGCAAUGGACGAAAGUCUGACGGAGCAACGCCGCGUGAGUGAUGAAGGUUUUCGGAUCGUACAGCUCUGUUGUUAGGGAAGAACAAGUACCGUUCGAAUAGGGCGGUACCUUGACGGUACCUAACCAGAAAGCCACGGCUAACUACGUGCCAGCAGCCGCGGUAAUACGUAGGUGGCGAGCGUUGUCCGGAAUUAUUGGGCGUAAAGGGCUCGCAGGCGGUUUCUUAAGUGUGAUGUGAAAGCCCCCGGCUCAACCGGGGAGGGUCAUUGGAAACUGGGGAACUUGAGUGCAGAAGAGGAGAGUGGAAUUCCACGUGUAGCGGUGAAAUGCGUAGAGAUGUGGAGGAACACCAGUGGCGAAGGCGACUCUCUGGUCUGUAACUGACGCUGAGGAGCGAAAGCGUGGGGAGCGCAUCAGAAUUAGAUACCCUGGUAGUUCAAGCCGUAAACGAUGAG